rnacentral:misc_RNA from 1 species
UGCGGUGUCAUGUUGAUGUUAUCAAAAUUAAGCAAGUGCUGCUCAUACUAUAAAUUAAACCAUAACCUUCUUUCUGGAGUGGUGGAAUUUAGAUCUUACACACAGUGGUAUUACACAAAGUAGAGUACAACAAAACCCACAUAAGUAUCACGAAAAGCAAAUCAAAUGAAAUCACAGAGUUUAUUGGUAGCAUACCUGCACUUUGUUGAGGAUUGAUUCCUAC